rnacentral:rRNA from 1 species
GACGAACGCUGGCGGCGUGCUUAACACAUGCAAGUCGAACGGUUCUGCCCUGUUUUUUGCGGGGUGGGUCAGUGGCGAACGGGUGAGUAACACGUGAGUAACCUGCCCCUCACUUCUGGAUAACCGCUUGAAAGGGUGGCUAAUACGGGGUGUUCUGGCUGUGCCGCAUGGUGUGGCUGGGAAAGAUUCACUUUUGUGGUGUUUUGGUGGGGGAUGGGCUCGCGGCCUAUCAGCUUGUUGGUGGGGUGAUGGCCUGCCAAGGCUUUGACGGGUAGCCGGCCUGAGAGGGUGGGCGGUCACACUGGGACUGAGAUACGGCCCAGACUCCUGCGGGAGGCAGCAGUGGGGGGUAUUGCACAAUGGGCGGAAGCCUGAUGCAGCGACGUCGCGUGAGGGAUGGAGGCCUUCGGGUUGUGAACCUCUUUCGCCGGUGAAGAAGGUCCUGCUCUUUGUGGUGGGGUUGACGGUAGCCGGGUUAUGAAGCGCCGGCUAACUACGUG